rnacentral:rRNA from 1 species
AACGAACGCUGGCGGCAGGCCUAACACAUGCAAGUCGAGCGAGGACUUCGGUCCUAGCGGCGGACGGGUGAGUAACGCGUGGGAACGUGCCCCUUGGUACGGAAUAGCCCCGGGAAACUGGGAGUAAUACCGUAUGAGCUCUACGGAGGAAAGAUUUAUCGCCAAGGGAUCGGCCCGCGUUGGAUUAGGUAGUUGGUGGGGUAAUGGCCUACCAAGCCGACGAUCCAUAGCUGGUUUGAGAGGAUGAUCAGCCACACUGGGACUGAGACACGGCCCAGACUCCUACGGGAGGCAGCAGUAAGGAAUAUUGGACAAUGGGGGAAACCCUGAUCCAGCCAUGCCGCGUGAGUGAUGAAGGCCUUCGGGUUGUAAAGCUCUUUUAGGUGUGAAAAUGAUGAUGGUAGCACCAGAAAAAGCUCCGGCUAACUUCGUGCCAGCAGCCGCGGUAAAAC